rnacentral:rRNA from 1 species
GCUAGAAUGAAUGGUUGGACGAGAUAUGAGCUUUCUUUAAUUUAUCUUUAGAAUUUAAUUUUUUAGUUAAAAAGCUAAAAUUGAUUUGGGGGACGAGAAGACCCUAUAGAUCUUAAUAUAUUUGUAUAUUAUUUAUUGUAGAUAAUUAAUUAUAGUAAUUUAUAAGUGUAUUUGGUUGGGGCGACUGUGGAAUUUUAAAUAACUUCUAUUUAUAUAUUUUCAUUAAUUAAUGUUUUUGUGAUCCAUUAUUAUUGAUUAAAAGAUUAAGUUACCUUAGGGAUAACAGCGUAAUUUCUUUGGAGAGUUCUUAUCGAUAAAGGAGUUUGCGACCUCGAUGUUGGAUUAAAAUAAGUUAUAGGUGUAGAAGUUUAUAUACUAGGUCUGUUCGACCUUUAAUUUUUUACAUGAUCUGAGUUCAA